UACGUAGGCAGCGAGCGUUGUUCGGAAUUACUGGGCGUAAAGAGUGUGUAGGCGGUGCUCUAAGUUCGGUGUGAAAUCUCCCGGCUUAACUGGGAGGGUGCGCCGGAAACUGGAGUGCUCGAGCGUGGGAGAGGAAAGCGGAAUUCCUGGUGCAGCGGUGAAAUGCGUAGAUAUCAGGAGGAACACCUGCGGUGUAGACGGCUUUCUGGACCAUUGCUGACGCUGAGACACGAAAGCGUGGGUAGCAAACAGG
rnacentral:rRNA from 1 species